AAAGGAAUAGACGGGGGCCCGCACAAGCAGCGGAGCAUGUGGUUUAAUUCGAAGCAACGCGAAGAACCUUACCAGGUCUUGACAUCCAGUAAAACUUGUAGAGAUAUAAGGUGUGCUUGCACAUACUGAGACAGGUGGUGCAUGGUUGUCGUCAGCUCGUGUCGUGAGAUGUUGGGUUAAGUCCCGCAACGAGCGCAACCCUUGUGAUCAGUUACUAACGGGUAAAGCCGAGGACUCUGAUAAGACUGCCGGGGACAACUCGGAGGAAGGUGGGGACGACGUCAAAUCAUCAUGCCCCUUAUGACCUGGGCUACACACGUGCUACAAUGGCCACUACAGAGAGAAGCGAAUUCGAGAGGAAGAGCGGAUCUCAAAAAAGUGGUCCCAGUUCGGAUUGUGGGCUGCAACCCGCCCACAUGAAGUCGGAGUUGCUAGUAAUCGCGGAUCAGCAUGCCGCGGUGAAUACGUUCCCGGGCCUUGUACACACCGCCCGU
rnacentral:rRNA from 1 species